CUAUAUGUUUUUUUUGUUUAUUUGUUUAUUGAAGAUUUAACAAUAUGCUUCAAGAUAACCGUGGCGAACAUAGCAAACGACUGAGACGAUUGAACUUUGAGUGUUUUAAUUUUGCCGUGACUUUAGUAAGCAAUCGCGCAUUUGCAAUUCAUUAUUAAAAAGCAUUUUGGGAAUUAAAAAAGUGAUUGUGAUCACACUGUGAAUUCCUGUUCUUUACAGAAAAAGAUUGAAAAAAGUCAUUGAUGAAUCAUGAUGCAAAACUUAUAAACUAAUUUAUGGAAAAACUAAUCGCUUCUAUUUCUUACCUUGAACAUUCACGAUCUUUAAAAUUUGUUGAAUAAUAAAGUGGUAAAGAUAAUCAGGUGGUUUAAGAGGAAGUUAUAAGUAUUUUUUUUUAACAGCUUGUGAAUGAUGUAAUUGUUAUCGACUUCCCAAGAUUCUGCUACAAACGUUAGGCUUUUUUGGGAUUUAAUAAGAAACUUAGAUGCUCGGUCACCUACUUGAGCAAUUGCACGUUCAAAAUCGUCAAGGUGAAUACAGUUUUCCUAAAUUUCGUUCUUAAUGCAGCAUCCUUAAUAAACAAAAUACGCUUGAUCCAGAAAACCAUUCUAUCCAACGUAAUUUAGAGCGAUAUCCCUUGAUGCGGAAUAAUUUCCUUUUUAGCUUAAGAACCACGAUUAAUGAAUGGUGCAAUUCAUCCAGAAUGGAAUCUUAUGAUUAACCGUCUUAACAUGUCUCAAUAGGAAGCAGAGGAACUGGAUUAUAAGUCAUAGGUCAGUUUUAUCGUAAAAACGUUUGCAGCUUUGUUCUAUAGUUUUUUCCAGUUUUGUAUAAAGAAUUCUUUACAUAAACUUGUGUUGUUUUACAAAAAGUGUCACAAACCGGGAUCGAACCGAUGACCAACAGAUCUUCAGUCUGUCAUGCUCCC